UACCAACUGUCAACACACAUUGAUGGAUAUGGAUGAAGUAGACACUCUACUUUUUUCACGUCCCUCCGCAGAGCCACUUCCGCCAUUCGAUACGGACAAAGUAGACAGUCUACUCUUUUCACGUCCUUCUUCCGCAGAACCGCUUCCGCCAUUCGAUACGGAGGCUUUUACUUCGAAUCUACGAGCUGCACUCUAUUCGUGUCAGGCGCAGAACAGUCGGAGAUUACAAUGUUACGGGAGUGAAGCUGAGCAUAGCCGCGCUGGUCAUACUCCAGACGAGGUUCGUGGAAAAUAUCGAGCAUUUCAAGAUGAAUUGAAAAACCUCGAUGCUUUGCCCACUCCGAGUUCCUGCGGUUUCUCGGAUUCCUUUAACCCACCUCAUCUGACUGCUGAAACGGCCCGAUCUUUGACUCCCUCGACAGCAGAUCAUGGCUCGACAUCCGAUACACAAACGACGGACGCAAUUACACCCGCGAAACUGAAACACGCGUCUUUGCAGAAGAUUACAAAGCUAAGCAAUGGGCAGAAGUUUCGUCGAAUAAAAAGUCAAGAGAUAGCUUUAAAGCGGCCUCUCACACGAGCAAGUCUAGCGAAGUGGAAGAAGAAAACACAACUUACCAAUUCGCGCCUAAUUAUCUUCAUAAUUGUCCAACACAAGACCUGAAGAAGCUUCGCAGAUCUUCAAUGCAUGGUGGCCCAGACUUAUCAGAUCUUAGAGGGGUAAUUUAUCCGUCCCCCAUUUAUUAGAAACCGGUGCUAAUUCUGACAGUAUCAACUUAAGCGACAAUUCCCAGAGGAGAUUCUGAAUAUCCGUCCAGAUCACAGAUCGGUUUCAUCAAGGAAUUCAGUCAUCGCCUGGCGGCGCUUUCGCAUUUCCAAGUCGUUCAAGGUUUGAUCGAAUACGAUAGACUGCUUUGCGGCUACAAUCAGCAGUACGCGCAAUCCGAGAUACAGGCUCAUCACUUCUAAGCAUGUCGCAUAUGAGCUGAACUGUUGAUUGUGCAAGGGGUGGGGCCAUCCUAUACACUACAAUAAUACAAGGCUGUAUUAUGUUCUAGUGACUGGUGUAAGAAGAGACUGAGAAAUGGCAAGGUACGGGGUACUACAUCUAGGCAGCGAUACAUGUAAUUUACGAGUGUAUCAAAUGUGCGAAAGCGCAAUACCUUAGGGAGAAAAUUACACAAGCCAGGGUUAAUCCGGACCUAGCCGUAUAUAGACUAGUAUAUUCUUAGCUCCGUUUCAGGAGAAAGAGAAGAGAGUGUUAGUUGUUACUCUGAAGGUGCAAACUACUGUACAGUACUCGGCAAUCUAUCAUCUGUCUAGAUCAUGACCCUAUUGCCGCUACUAUCUUGAAUGAAGUGUACAAAAUGGGUUCCUCAAUGCUACUACCAAUUGUUGCUCUACCAAUUUUUUUAACUUAUUU
rnacentral:lncRNA from 1 species